rfam:Ictidomys tridecemlineatus contig008131, whole genome shotgun sequence.
UGGUCUGAGGCUCAGUGGUAGAGCGCCUGCCUCACAUGCGUGAGGCAUUGGGUUCAAUCCCCAGCACCACAA